CAAACUCUAGCUCUGUCGCCCAGGCUGGAGUGCAGUGGCAAAUCUUGGCUCACUGCAACCUCCACCUCCCAGGUUCAAAUGAUUCUCCCACCUCAGCCUCCCACGUAGCUGGGAUUACAGGCGUGCGCCACCAUGCCAGGCUAAUUUUUUGUAUUUUUAGUAGAGACGGGGUUUCACCAUGUUGCCCAGGCUGGUCUUCAACUCCUGACCUCAGGUGAUCUGCCUGCUUUGGCCUCCCAAAGUGCUAGGAUUACAGGCUUGAGCCACCGUACCCAGCUCUGGAACAAAAUUUUAAACAGUGGCAAGACAGAACUGCUAACAAGAAGGGUCUGAUUUACAAUUCAUUAGUUUCUUUGCUUCAAGAAUGAAGCCUCCUGUCCUAACCAUCCUUAACCCCAAAGCAGGCUACCUUCUCCACAGCUUCUCAGCUGGGGGAUAAUGUAAGUUACCUCUAUGCACAAACAAGUGUAUCUCUGUCAGGAUAUCAUGCAGUGCCAACCCCUUCAGAGUUUUCAACUCUGUAAUAUCUAGAGGAGCAGUUAAGGCAAAGGGAACAAGUUCCAGAACAAACAUACUGCAGAGAAUUUUGAAUCCAAACCCGGGCAAGAGACUUUUUAAAGUAAGGCUUUUAAUCCCAACACAACUGUUUCUCUUUCAACUUGAAGCUGCACGUGUUGGACUCCAAUUCUUUAUUUUUCUUUGUUUCAUCUUCAGUAAGGGC
rnacentral:lncRNA from 1 species